GAAAGACUUUUUUAUGUAAUACCAACACUUUGAACAGUCGACACUUCUUCCAAUAUGUACAGCCACUUCUGAUAUUUAUCAAGUUUCCACAUUUGAAUGGGUUUUGUGUUCUCUAGUCAGUUCAUUGGUCCAUUGUCAACCCCUGUGCUAUUAGAACCACAUUGUCCUUGGUAAUGCAAGCUAGUGCAGUCACUUUGGAAAACUGUAUGGAGGUUCCUCAAAAAACUAAAAAUAGAACUACCCUAUGACCUAGCAAUGGCACUGCUAGGUAUUUAUCCAUGGGAUACAGGUGUGCUGUUUCAAAGGGACACAUGUACCCCAAUGUUUACAGCAGCACUAUCAACAAUAGCCAAAGUAUGGAAAGAGCCCAAAUGCUCAUCGACGGAUGAAUGGAUAAAGAAGAUGAGGUAUAUAUAUACGAUGGAGUAUUACUCAGCAAUCAAAAAGAAUGAAAUCUUGCCAUUUGCAACUAUGUGGAUGGAACUGGAGGGUAUUAUCUUAAGCGAAAUUAGUCAGAGAAAGACAAAAAUCAUGUGACUUCACUCAUAUGAGAACUUUAAGAGACAAACAUGAACAUAAGGGAAGGGAAACAAAAAUAAUAUAAAAACAGGGAGGGGAACAAAACAUAAGAGACUCAUAAAUAUGGAGAACAAAUCGAGGGUUACUGGAAGGGGUGUAGGAGGGGGGAUGGGCUAACUGGGUAAGGGGCAUCAAGGAAUCUUCUCCUGAAAUAAUUGUUGCACUAUAUGCUAAUUUGGAGAUAAAUUAAAAAAAAUAAAUUUAAUAAAUUAUAUAAACAUUAAAAUUACACUGCGUGAAAGAAACUUGUCAUAAAAGACGAAGUCCUGUAUAAUCUUAUUUAAAUAAAAUUCCCAAACAUAAACUCACAUAUAGUCAUGGAAGCGCCCCAGUAGUGGCUUUUAAGGUGAGGGAGAUGAGGGAACAGAAAAAGAGACACAGAAGAACUUUCUAAUAUGAUGAAAUACUUGUAUAUGUUGUUUUCUGUGAUCACAGCAGUGUAAACAAUUGUCACAACUCUUUUAUCACCUAAGAUCUCUGCAUUUGUUGUAUAAAAAAUAUUGUACUCGGAUUUUUUAAGUAUCAAUUAAAACAUGUAUUAGCAGAA